CUCCACCUUUCAUUCUACUUAACUUUUGACAAGAUAUUUUUUCUUGUUUGUGGGAUCCUCUUCCUCCACCUUUUUUUGACUUUUUAUCUUUACCCCAAUACAAAUAACACAAAGAGGAGUUAAGAAAUCUAUCAAGAAAGAGUGGGAAAGCAAAGAUAGAGAGAACAAAAAUGGAGUGGAAAAAAAUUGCUUUAGUUGCAAUGAUGGGGAUGUUGCUUAUGGCUACUUUUACAGAGUCAGUCGGUUUGGGCGUGGAUGAGGAGAUCAUUCAAUUAGUUUCCGACGGAGUGAAUGAGUACUCACAAAAUAUUGGAAAGGAUACUGCACCCGGCUGCCCUCGAAUCCUUAUGAAGUGUAAAACCGACAGCGAUUGCUACCCUGGCUGUACUUGCAAACCGAUGGGCUAUUGUGGUUGACUCCUAGCCGUGUCGUUUCGGAUCUUCUACUGUGUCCUUGUUUGUGUGUGUUUGAUUUCUAUUUUAUGAAAAUAAAUGCAUGGUUUUGUGUGUCUUUCUCAUCACUCUUUUCUCUCCUGUCUAUGAGUUAGUGUGAUCAUAUCAGUGGCAUGCUUGAUAUCCCAUCAAGCUGUUUUGUUGUAAUAUUUAUUAUGUUUUCUAUCUCACUAUGGUCUUUGAGGAUAUCUUCCCUAUCUCCUUCCAUGAACUUUAAGUUUCAUUUUCUUUAACCAUUCUUCCAUAAAUUUAAAGUUUUAUUUUUUUUAACCAUUAAAUACUCAAAGAUUAACCGUUGAAUCAGUAUUUUGUUGGCCAAGCAACUUGCCAGUCCACUGAUGGAAGCAUGGAUUAUUUGGGUAAGUAAUUAUUUAGUUUGACUGGGAAAUAUUGAAGAAAUAUGGUUCAAUGGUGAGUUUAGUUUGUGGGGCAAGCUAAAACUCCCUCUCUAAUAUGUGGGGUUUGGAGGUGUAAGUUUUUUCUAAGAAGUUUGGGUGUGUUGUGUUACCCUUUUUAUUUGGCUCCUUUGCUGUGUACGGGGGGGACGAGUGUCGACAUUAUGGAUCUAAUGUAUGAGGCUAUCUUGGGUUAUUUCUUAAAUUGUGCUUACUUCGGUUGUGGAAGACUAGAUACUUGGCCGAAGCAGUUAUUUGAACUCCAUAAACAUUUCGAGUACUCUUCACUAAACCUCCCUCUCUCUCCAAUAUAAUAUCGCAUCAACUCCAUGAGAAAGUCCUUCAACAUUUGCUAUUGCACCAAAACCACAUUUUUGCUCUUCCAUUUUGGCCAACUACCGACUACGAAGUAGAUGACUGGGUUAAUGAUAAUUAUGUUUUAGGUACACGACUUUAUAACACCAUUUUUUAGAUUUCUUUGGCAAGUACUGUGGCUAGUUUUUCCAUAUUAUUUUAAAAAAUAUAACUUAACCCUCUCGAGAUGAUAAACAGUUUUUUAAUGUUUCGUUGAAUUAGGUUUGAUAUAUUCACUAAUUUUGAGGAGUUCUUGAAGCAAUCUUUCUUAUAUUUGAAAUAAUAGUAAAAAUAAACAAGGUUUGGACCAUAACCCUUUUCCUAAUCUCCUAAAUCUCCAUCUCAAACACACAGCCCUUAAUAUUCUUGGAGUUUGAUAUAUAUAACAUUAAACUAUAUGAUUAAAUAUUAUACUUGAUCAAACGUAAUAUUUACGGUGAAAAUUGAUAUUUUCGUAAAAAAAAUUCAUUGAUAAAUCAAUCAAUAAUUAGUUUCAAUGCAGAGUUCUCUACACCACUGAGAAUCUCAUCUCCAGCAUCAAGGUUUUACUUUUCAUGAUAGUUCUCAAACGCUUCUACAAAUUUUACUAAUUAUUUGGUGAUCAGUUGAAGGAUAAGAAAUAUAAUGAUGAAGAUAGAUAGAUUAUUGAAUAGAUGAUCAAAACUUUCAGAAAUUUCAGUGUUGACUGGUCACACUUCUCAAGGUACUAAGAUCUACUACAAGUCCGUUGCUAUUGUUAUUUAUUUUAGUUAACUUUGAGGAUAAAAACUAGGAGGUGGUUUAAAAGAUGAUCUAUUACAAAUAUAAAUUAAAUAUGCAGUGGGAUAAGAUAGGAUCAGGACGUCUGCUCAAACUAGACUAUAAAAUAAUUAUACACUAGUUAACAGAGAUAAAUAUACAAAUGAGAGUGUAAUUUUAACUUUUACCAUGCUUCAAGGAUGGUAUUUGCAAUUUAUUUCUUUUCUACUUUGAGCAUCUUAACCUCGAAAAUAUAAAUAACAGUGUAUUUAAAUAACUAAAUUUCCAUGUUUUGUUUUCCUAGUUGUUACACACCAAAUCAUCCCACUACAGACCCUCCUCGUUUUUCUUACAUAAUUCUUAAUUAUUUAUUCUGAGUGAUAUCAAAUAAAUAAGGGGUUUCUUUAUAAUAAAAAAUACAAAUCAAUGGUCCCUUUUUUUCUUUUUUCUUUUUUUUACAAUUUCUCAAUAAAAAUAAUGCACCCAAAUGAGUUGUUCUCUCUAUAAAUAUAGAGAGUUGAGAUCAUUGAGAUGGUGUCAAGAAAGAGAGAGAAGCAAAGAAGGAAAAAAUAAUGGAGUGGAAAAAAGUUGCUUUAGUUGCAAUGAUGGGGAUGUUGCUUAUGGCUACUUUUACAGAGUCAGUCGGUUUGGGCGUGGAUGAGGAGAUCAUUCAAUUAGUUUCGGACGGGCUGAAUGAGUACUCACAAAAUAUUGGAAAGGAAACUGUAGGCUGCCCUCGAAUCCUUAUGCCGUGUAAAUCCGACCACGACUGCUUAAGUGGCUGCACUUGCAAACGAAACGGCUAUUGUGGUUGACUCCUAGCCGUGAUGUUUCGUUCGGAUCUUCUACGGUGUCUUUGUUUGUGUGUGUUUUCUAUUUUAUGAAAAUAAAUGCAUGGUUGUUGUGUGUCUUUCUCAUCACUCUUUUCUCUCGUGUGUAUGAGUUAGUGUGAUCAUAUCAGUGGCAUGCCUGAUAUCCCAUCAAGCUGUUUUGUUGUAAUAUUUAUUAUGCUCUCUAUCUCACUAUGGUCUUUGAGGAUAUCUUCCCUAUCUCCUUCCAUCAACUUUAAGUUUCAUUUUCUUUAACCAUUCUUCCAUGAAUUUAAAGUUUUAUUUUUUUUAACCAUUAAAUACUCAAAGAUUAACUGUUAAUCACUCAAAAUUCAUUUUUUUUAAACUAUAGUUUUGAGUGUUUAUCAUAUACUACAUCAUUUUAUAUAACAAACAC
rnacentral:lncRNA from 1 species